UGACGCCCUCCCCCGCUCCUCUUCUGGCCAGGCCCUUCCCCCUUCCCCUCCGCCUCCGGCCCUCUCAUUUCGCUAUAACACGGAGCAUUUAUAUAAUUUCAUAAAUUCGGGCCUCAAAGCAACUAAUCAACCAUGAGAAGAUGUUAAUUGUAAGACAGUGCAUUGAGCGCAAUUUAUGGGUCAAGAUGGUUUUAUUUGGAGGAAUGCUGCUGCCGGUGUUCUUACUGGUAUUAAUUAUUAAUAGGCGGCUACUAGGGUGGAUCGAUAGGGAAGGACAAGGGGCUGUCGCUGGUUACUUAUCCCGAAGCCCUCCCCCGUCCCCCUUUCCGGCCGGGCCCUUCCCCUUCCUCCUCCGCCUCCGGCCUUCCCCUUAGGCUAUAGCUUGGAGCAUUUCUAGGAUUUUAAAAAAGUCGGGCUCAAAGCAACUAAUCAAUCAUGAGAGAUGUUUAUUAUAAUACAGUGCACUGAGCGCAAUUUAUGGGACAAGAUAAACAUUACACAGUACAAUGAGAUUGAAUAACAACCGAAAAUUUUUUCUUGUAGUGUAUGUCUUCUGUUGAUGCUAUGUUUUUUUUUCCCCAAAAACUCUUUUCUUUCUCACUCUCUUUUUAGUGUCGUAAUAGUUAUAUUUUGAGGAAUUCCAGAUCAUAGAGAACACAAAAGAGGAUCCUGGUGUUCUAAAGAUUGCAGGUUAUCCAAAUAGUAAAUUUUCUCUCUGAAUCUAUUCAUAAACAUUUGCUUACAUUCUGUUCACUUUCCAGGUCUUGCGUGAGAACAUUUGUCAUCCAGCGCCAAAUAUUACACAUUUGCUACUCAAAUUUGAAGUAAAUGAUCCAGUAAAAAGGACUGUGUUGCAACCAAAAGAUCAUUACAGUUGUUUGAAGGUUGCCCUUGAUAAGUUGGAAAGACCAUCUCAACCAGAUAUAAAUUCCUUGUUUUAUGAGUUUAGUUUCCAGCUUCUUUACGAAUUAUGUUUGGAACCAUUGACCGCUGUGCCUGUAAUGGAUCGUUUGAGUGCAAAGAAGUACCAAUUCUUUUCGGUGCACUGAGAGACAAUUGGAGUUGUGCCACUCCCUAAAAGGGCUAACAAUCUGGCUCUUCGUGUCAGUACUGUGCA